rnacentral:lncRNA from 1 species
GUUUAUCACUAAAGAUCAGUUGGUUAAACCCUCAGGAUUUACUUCUUGAGAUUCCCUUUCAACUGCUGCAGUUUUUACCCCUUCUAGAGUUUGGAUCAAUUUGCGAAGAAGUUUGUCAGGAUCAUCAUUAGGAGACUUGGGCAUGAGGUUCUCUGCAACAUCAGCAGGGGUGAUUUUGACACAUCUGAUCAAUUCUUUAAUUUGAUCAAAUAGGAGAUGAGUCUCUAGAUUCAAGUAAUUUUUUGCAAGCACUUUGAAUGCCUCGAAGCUGCAAUAAGAAAGCUCAAUAUGUUUGUCCAUCCGACCUGUUCUAAUGAGGGCUGGAUCAAGCUUCUCCACAUAAUUGGUUGUGAAAACAAUAAGUCUUUCCCCACCACUAGCUGACCAUAAUCCAUCAAUGAAGUUCAACAAUCCCGAGAGAGUGACUUUACUGCUGGUGUCGUCCUCUUCUUUCUUUGAGGAUUCUUUGGGGGAUUUCUCUUUGUCAUCUGUAGACUUUUCUUCUUUCUUCUUUCUCUGCCCUGUAAGAUCAAGUGAGCAAUCAAUAUCCUCAAUCACAACGAUCGAUUUACUUGUCGUUUCGAUCAAAAGUGUUCGAAGCUGGGUGUUGUUCUUCACUGCAGUGAGCUCCAGGUCAUAAACAUCAUAAUUUAGCAGAUUGGCCAUUGCAGCGAUCAUUGUUGACUUUCCUGUCCCAGGUGGACCAUAUAAAAGAUAACCACGUUUCCAUGCCUUCCCAAUUCGAGCAUACAACUCUUUGCUCCUGGUGAAGGUCAAUAAAUCAUCUAUAAUCUCCUGCUUUUUCUCUGACUCCAUUGCUAUGGUGUCAAAUGUUGCAGGGUGCUCAAAUACGAUGUGGCUCCACAUGGUUUGGCUGUAAUACCAUCUACCACCAGAGCCAUUGGUAAAAAGCUUCCUCUGCCUGUUUCUCACUCUGAUUUCUUUCCCUUCACCCAAGACAUGCUUCAAAUAUGUUUCUGUAAUUAAUUUUCUGCUCCGCUUAUGAAACGUGAGUGUAUAGUAUCUCCUAUCAGGAUCUGGAAAAGAAUUGCCUGAACUUUUCGACGAACCUGUCAUGUUUAAAACCCACCAUACUUUUACUCCUUGAAAUUCAUCGGUCACCUUUUCAUGAUCAUCCAUACUCAAUACCAAGUUGGUGCUAUCUUGUCCUAUCUCAGCUUUGAGUCGUGUAGCACUUUGGGAUGAAUUUUUGCUGAGAUAUGACUCAACCGCUGAGAAAGCUUCACUCCGCUUGAGGCGUUCACCAACAUAUUCGUGGACUGAGAUCUGGAUGUAAGGAUGGAAGUAGUUCAUGAAUCUCAACGAGUAUUUUUCAAAGUAAUGACGAAAUGCUCGGGGGCAAGAUUGUUGAAUCAUAGCCCACACAAACAUGAAACUUGCAAUGGUUGGACCAGCAGCUGCCCACCACCCUGCCAUGGAUGUUGCUCCCAUCCACAUUGUUGCAGUGGUACUGGUGUUCUGGUGGUGUUGCUCCCCAGCAGAGCUUAUGCUUUGUAAACCACUGAAAAGGGAAUACAUUUGUGAAAGAGUAGUAAGAUUGGAAGGCAAGUGAGAAGAAGUGGGAUGAUGUAUGGACAAUGGAAAGUAUCAUUAUUAAUAAGUGAGGACUUAUGAUGCGUGGCAUUGGGUCCCAACAUUGACUGCUAGCUUCGACAUGCGUCAAGAAUUGUAUUGUGGUUUUUCCUUCUUAAUCUAUUGAUUUCUCUAUUUGUAAUGACUAAACAGGCAACAGGAUUGGCAUUGGCAUACCCCAUGUGAGCUGAAUUACAAAUUUGGAUGACCUUGAAAGAAAACAAAGCACACUCUAACAUAAGGUACCGUCCAAAUUACUUUUACAUCUGAUUUUAGGCCUUGAACUAUGAAUUAAUAUUUUCCUUCAAGUGACGAACCAUAUAGUUUAAUUAUUUUAAUUCAGAAGAAAAGUUGUAUUAGGACUUAGGAAGGAGAAAGUGGAAGAUGACGAUAGAGUUGUGACAUGUACAUGAUUACGUCAACUUGAUGGACAAUAUGUAAUCGUCUAAAUCAAGGAAUGAGAGAGAAGGGUCAUGAAAUUACAUAGAAAGAUCUUUAAAAGUGAUUAAGUAAGCUUCGUCCACCCUACAAAUUUCAUUGCCUGAUUUCAUUUGUGCAUGUUUGAAUUUAUGGAAAACAAAUUAAUAUAAUUUUGUCUGUUCAGUUUAUGAAUAAGAAUGAAGUAUAUGAAAUUGCAAAAACCAAAUUAGGACAAGCAUGAAAUUAACUUUUAACUUGAUUAUUGAAUGGUUUUUAGUCAUUUAAUGUACCAAUCAAAUACCUAUCACCUAAAAUUUAUUGGUAAACAAACCUUCAACUUAAGUAUUAAAACAUUCCGUCUCAAGCAUAAAAGCGCUUGCUUAGGUGAGUGUAAUGGAGAGAGAGGUCGUAACCUCUACAAACAAGAGAUAUCAAUUAAGGGUAUGGAAAGUUCAAUCUCACACUUUUCCUAAACUAAUCAAUGAAGAGAAAAAAAAAAUUAAAAUGAGUCUAGUUCAUAUGAAGUUCAUAAAAUUUGUUUAGAUGACAAUUUUUUUAAAUGUUUUAUGACAUUUAUAAAGGAUGAUGGAGAUAUUAAUGUGUGGUUGAGGUUAAACAAUUGGAUGUACUCAUCUCUUCUUGUUUCUUUUUAAUGUUCGUUGGUUGGCUUCUUCUCCUCCUUCGAGCUAUUUUUAAAGACAAAUUAGCGACGCCAUUAUUGACUCAUUACCUAAUAAGACAUGCAUUGUGAAGGAAAAAAAUGAAAGAAAACGACUGUGGUACUUGUCAGCCUGUGAGUGGAUGAACUGUUCUUUCGUUCUUUCUAUUACCCUUUGCUUUAUGAGUUCGUUGAGAUUAAAAAAGUAACUCUUCUUUUUAAUUAAAAAAGGAACACUUCUAACAUAAAACUUAAUAUCAAUUGAUACCUUUAAAAUUUUACUUUGUAUAAUUCAAAUUUUUUGAAGUUAUUCAAAACAGUUCAUGCACCAAAUUACAACGAAAGAGAUAGCCUUUGAAUACUCCUUUUAGGCAAGGUUUCUAAAACUGAAUGUCUUUGAUUAUUUUCCGUAAAACAAUAUCCUUUCCCCUACAAUAAUUUCAGUCGGGUAUAGAGUUUUUUCCUUUUUCUUGAAUCUUUCCUAACUGCUCUUUUUGUGGCAGUGGCAGAGAUGAGAACCUGUUGAUACAAUAAUUAUGAUGGACUGGCUUCAAGGUUUAUUUCUAUGUCAGGGUAACUAUUGUUAGUGCUCUUCCUCUGCUUUAUUUCUAAUCCCACCAUAGUUGUGACUGGUUGAACUAGAAGGCUAUCACUAAUGGGCAAUGGUUUCUUUUAUACAAAUCAUACUCUUCUUUGAUUUUCCUACAUAUUUUUGAGAAUCAAGCACCAAAUCAAAUUGAAAACGAAGUUGAUUCAGUUUCUAUGAUUUGUUUAACAAACUUUUAAUUGAAGGAAGAGAUGUCUUAAAUGUAAUAUAAACUAACAAUUUGAACAUUUUUAUUAACUAAGAGAAUUCUAUACCAUUUUUAGACAGAAGAGCUAAAAUAUUUCCAGUAGCAUAAAUUUUCAUUAUCAGCCAUAAUUAGGAAGUGCUAAAUUCAAAUUGUAGAUGAGCCCAACAAGCACUAAGGAGAAAGUGCUAAAUUCUACUAGAAUACGAGCCUAACAAGCACUAUGCAGAAAGUGUUAAAUUGAACUAGAAGAUGAGCGUUCACCUUCAGUUUGUGACUGAAGAUAGGUUGUGGUUGAUUCCGCUGUAUUUGCUUCUUGAGAUUCCUCAACUAUUGCUGCUUCCUUUGCCUGUUGCAAAGUUUGAAUUAAUUUGUGAAUACGUUUCUCAAGGUCAUCUUUUGGAGACUUGGGCAUGAGGUUCUCUGCAACAUCAGCGGGUGUGAUAUUGACAUCUUCAAUCAGUUCUUUGAUCUGAUCAAAUAAUGGAUGAGUUUCGAGAUUCAAGUAAUUCUUCGCCAGCACUAGAAAUGACUCAAAACUACAAUAAGAAAGCUCAAUAUGUUUAUCCAUCCGACCAGUUCUGAUAAGUGCUGGAUCAAGUUUCUCUACAUAAUUAGUAGUGAAAACAAUAAGCCUUUCCCCACCACAAGCUGACCAUAUUCCAUCAAUGAAAUUCAACAAUCCGGACAAAGUAACUUUACUACUGCUCUCAUCUUCUUUAUGGGAAGAUUCUUUGGAAGGUUUUUCUUUCUCAUCAUCCUUCAACUUCUCUUCUUUCUUCUUCCUCUGCCCCGUUAAAUCAAGCGAGCAAUCGAUAUCCUCAAUCACGAUUAUCGAUUUGCUGGUAGUCUCAAUCAAAAGUUUCCUAAGCUCUGUGUUGUUUUUCACUGCAGUGAGUUCCAAGUCAUAAAUAUCGUAGUUCAGUAGAUUUGCCAUUGCAGCAAUCAUAGUUGAUUUCCCUGUUCCUGGUGGACCAUAUAGAAGAUACCCACGUUUCCAAGCCUUCCCAAUUCGAGCAUAAAAAUCCUUACUGCUUGUAAAGGUCUGCAAAUCAUCUAUAAUCUCUUGCUUUUUCUUUGCUUCCAUUCCUAUGGUGUCAAAUGUUGCAGGGUGCUCAAACACUAUGUGACUCCACAUAGUAUGGCUGUAACUCCAUCUUCCACCAGAACCAUUGGUAUAAAGCUUCCUUUGCCUGUUUCUUACUCUAAUUUCUUUCCCUUCACUCAACACAUACUUCAAAUAUGGUUCCGUAAUUAAACUUCUGUGAUUCUUGUGGAAAGUGAGUGUAUAAUAUCUCUUAUCAGGAUUGGGAUACGAAUUAUCAGGAUUUGUUGAUGAACCUGUUCUGUUUAAAACCCACCAUACUUUCACUCCUUGAAAUUCAUCAGUCACUUUUUCAUGAUCAUCCAUACUGAACACCAAAUUUGUGCUGUCUUUUCCUAUCUCAGCUUUGAGUCUUUUGGCUGUAUUGGAUGAAUUCUUGCUGAGAUAUGAUUCAAUUGCAAUGAAAGCUUCACUACGUUUAAGACGUUCACCAGCAAAUUCAUGGAUGGAGAUCUGUAUGUAAGGAUGGAAGUAGUUCAUGAGUCUACGCCAG